rnacentral:misc_RNA from 1 species
GGUGGAGAUGGUACUACUGGGCAUCACCAACUGCUUGGACAAUAUAUGGUCUGAUCACCUCCCAGGUGGGAAAGCUAUCACAUGAUUUAGUUAUACCAGGGGAUACAUUAAUGCCAGUGAAUGAUUACCUGAAGAUAGCCUUUGGAUUUGAGUAUGACUUCCUUGGAGCAGUUGCAGCUGCCCAUAUUGGUUUUGUUCUCCUUUUCUUGUUUGUCUUUGCUUAUGGAAUCAAGUUCCUCAACUUCCAGAGAAGAUAGUUCUGAGAAACCCAGAUUGAAAAGAAAAGGAAAGAAAAUUAACCAUUUUUUUUUUUCGUUUGGAAGUCAGCAAGUUCGGAUUAAAUUUAGUUGAUGAUUAGUGGGGCUUGCAUGCCUUGCCUUUUUUACUAUCAACUUGUAUUAUUUUCUCUUUCUCCAUUUCGAUGUUCUUUAGUCCAUUUAACAGUUUUUUUUUGUUUUUAAUUUAAUUUAAAGCCUUAGAUAGGAAAAAUU